UACAACUCUGAUGAAAUCUUCAUACUUGUAAUGAUUUGCGAAGAUGAUCGCUUCUCUUUAAGAACAUCUAAGGGACUGAAUUCUU